AUUGAACGCUGGCGGCAUGCCUUACACAUGCAAGUCGAACGGUAACAGGUCUUCGGAUGCUGACGAGUGGCGAACGGGUGAGUAAUACAUCGGAACGUGCCCGAUCGUGGGGGAUAACGAAGCGAAAGCUUUGCUAAUACCGCAUACGAUCUACGGAUGAAAGCAGGGGACCGCAAGGCCUUACGCGAACGGAGCGGCCGAUGGCAGAUUAGGUAGUUGGUGGGAUAAAAGCUUACCAAGCCGACGAUCUGUAGCUGGUCUGAGAGGACGACCAGCCACACUGGGACUGAGACACGGCCCAGACUCCUACGGGAGGCAGCAGUGGGGAAUUUUGGACAAUGGGCGAAAGCCUGAUCCAGCCAUGCCGCGUGCAGGAUGAAGGCCUUCGGGUUGUAAACUGCUUUUGUACGGAACGAAAAGACUCUGGUUAAUACCUGGGGUCCAUGACGGUACCGUAAGAAUAAGCACCGGCUAACUACGUG
rnacentral:rRNA from 1 species